CCUCCUCUCUCCCUCCCUCCCUGGUGGUGUCCAUAACUUCAGAACCCCUCCUCCCUCCCUCCCUGGUGGUGUCAUAACUUCAGAACCCCUCUCUUUCUCCUUCCCCCUCUCUAUGCUUCCAUGUUGUCUGUACCAUUGUCAUUGGAAAAAUAAACCAGUCUUGUAAAAAUCCUUAUUUUCUGUGUUGUUGUUUCACAGACCUUAAUCUCACAUUAACAUUACUUUAUUUGUCCAAUUGUACAGGUACAAGGUCCAACGGAAAUGUGACUUGCACUUUAUCCCAACUCCUCCGAAAGACAAAAAGAUCUGCCAAGCAGGCUAGACGGGUGACAGUUGUCUCCACUGAGCUGCUCCAGGCCUGGAGAGCCACAAUGGAAUUUCCAGAGGCCUGUGGACCUGAAGCAGUGUGAUGUGGUCCAGAUCUUACACCCCUUUUCGCUCAACUACAGCCCUGACAGCUGCAGUUGUCUGCCCUGCACCUGCAGAGUGGCAUCAACAGGUAUCCUUGUUUCUCAGUCAGAACACUGGAAUGUGAGAUGGGAUCUACACCUCCAUUAAAAUGAUAGAAUUCCUCAUUUCGUUUAAUGUUUUUCAAUUUGAGCUUAUACUUUCUCCUUCUCAACAUCUAACGCGAGGGGGACGGUGUGGCUUCGUGACGAUGAUCACAAGGGUCGUUGCUCACCUGUUUGACGGCUCCAACGCAGUUACACCUCCGACUCCGACAAAACAUCAGCUAUGCGGGUGUCGGAUAUUACCUGUUAAGACUUGAUCUGAUUGAAUCUUACAGUCAUUCACGCUGUUUAGUUAUAUUAUCAUUGUCAGUUAAUACAAUUGUGCCUCUCUUUUAGAUCUGCCACCCACCCUGCCAGCAGUCCUCUGCUGUGGUAUUUCAUUUCCCGGCAAGGUCUUUGGUUUAUUGGAUAUUUCUCUGAUUGAAAUGUGUGACCAAAAGGAAGUUGGCAGACCUGCAACCCUCUGGGAUUGUGUGCAGGUUUUGUCAUCUGAAGCUGGGCCCCAACAGCACUCACAUACAGUUGAAGUCAGAAGUUUACAUACACCU